UACGUAGGUGGCGAGCGUUGUCCGAAGUUACUGGGCGUAAAGCGCGCGUAGGCGGGGGGUUAAGUGAGAGGUGAAAGGCUGGGGCUCAACCUCAUGCAGUGCCUCUCAUACUGGCCUUCUUGAGGGCGGUAGGGAGAAGUGGAAUGGCUGGUGUAGCGGUGAAAUGCGUAGAUAUCAGUCGGAACACCGGUGGCGAAGGCGGCUUCUUGGGCCGUUCCUGACGCUGAUGCGCGAAAGCUGGGGGAGCGAACGGG
rnacentral:rRNA from 1 species